rnacentral:rRNA from 1 species
UACGUAGGGUGCGAGCGUUAAUCGGAAUUACUGGGCGUAAAGCGUGCGCAGGCGGUCUGUUAAGACAGAUGUGAAAUCCCCGGGCUUAACCUGGGAACUGCAUUUGUGACUGGCAGGCUAGAGUAUGGCAGAGGGGGGUAGAAUUCCACGUGUAGCAGCGAAAUGCGUAGAGAUGUGGAGGAAUACCGAUGGCGAAGGCAGCCCCCUGGGCCAAUACUGACGCUCAUGCACGAAAGCGUGGGGAGCAAACAGG